AGCGAACGCUGGCGGCAGGCCUAAUACAUGCAAGUCGAACGAACCUUUCGGGGUUAGUGGCGGACGGGUGAGUAACACGUGGGAACGUGCCUUUAGGUUCGGAAUAAUUCAGGGAAACUUGUGGUAAUACCGCAUGUGCCCUUCGGGGGUAAGAUUUCUUGCCUUUAGAGCGGCCCGCGUCUGAUUAGCUAGUUGGUUGAGGUAAUGGCUCACCAAGGCGACGAUCAGUAGCUGGUCUGAGAGGAUGAUCAGCCACAUUGGGACUGAGACACGGCCCAAACUCCUACGGAAGGCAGCAGUGGGGAAUCUUGCGCAAUGGGCGAAAGCCUGACGCAGCCAUGCCGCGUGAAUGAUGAAGGUCUUAGGAUUGUAAAAUUCUUUCACCGGGGACGAUAAUGACGGUACCCGGAGAAGAAGCCCCGGCUAACUUCGUG
rnacentral:rRNA from 1 species